rnacentral:rRNA from 1 species
CCAAAAGCGUAUAUUAAAGUUGUUGCAGUUAAAAAGCUCGUAGUUGAACCUUGGGCUUGGCUGGCCGGUCCAUCUUUUUUGAUGCGUACUGGACCCAGCCGAGCCUUUCCUUCUGGCUAGCCUUUUGGCGAACCAGGACUUUUACUUUGAAAAAAUUAGAGUGUUCAAAGCAGGCCUUUGCUCGAAUAUAUUAGCAUGGAAUAAUAGAAUAGGACGUUAUGGUUCUAUUUUGUUGGUUUCUAGGACCAUCGUAAUGAUUAAUAGGGACGGUCGGGGGUAUCAGUAUUCAGUUGUCAGAGGUGAAAUUCUUGGAUUUACUGAAGACUAACUACUGCGAAAGCAUUUACCAAGGACGUUUUCAUUAA